ACUGACGCAGCGACGCCGCGUGGGUGACGAAGGCCUUCGGGUUGUAAAGCCCUGUGGGGCGAGACGAACAGCUUCUGGUCGAACAGGCCAGGGGUUUGACGGUAUCGCCUUAGCAAGCACCGGCUAACUCUGUGCCAGCAGCCGCGGUAAUACAGAGGGUGCAAACGUUGCUCGGAAUUACUGGGCGUAAAGCGCGUGUAGGCGGUUUUAUAAGUCCGACGUGAAAAGCCCGGGGCUCAACCCCGGAAGUGCGCUGGAUACUGUGAAGCUGGAGUCCUGAAGAGGAGAGCGGAAUUCCCGGUGUAGAGGUGAAAUUCGUAGAUAUCGGGAGGAACACCUGUGGCGAAAGGCGGCUCUCUGGGCAGGUACUGACGCUGAGACGCGAAAGCGUGGGGAGCAAACAGGAUUAGAUACCCUGGUAGUCCACGCUGUAAACGAUGAGAACUAGCCGUUGUGGGUAUUGACCCCCGCAGUGGCGAAGCCAACGCGUUAAGUUCUCCGCCUGGGAAGUACGGCCGCAAGGCUAAAACUCAAAGGAAUUGACGGGGGCCC
rnacentral:rRNA from 1 species